rnacentral:rRNA from 1 species
AGAACAAGGAUAAGAGUAACUGCUUGUCCCUUGACGGUAUCUAACCAGAAAGCCACGGCUAACUACGUGCCAGCAGCCGCGGUAAUACGUAGGUGGCAAGCGUUGUCCGGAUUUAUUGGGCGUAAAGCGCGCGCAGGCGGUCUUUUAAGUCUGAUGUGAAAGCCCCCGGCUUAACCGGGGAGGGUCAUUGGAAACUGGAAGACUGGAGUGCAGAAGAGGAGAGUGGAAUUCCACGUGUAGCGGUGAAAUGCGUAGAUAUGUGGAGGAACACCAGUGGCGAAGGCGACUCUCUGGUCUGUAACUGACGCUGAGGCGCGAAAGCGUGGGGAGCAAACAGGAUUAGAUACCCUGGUAGUCCACGCCGUAAACGAUGAGUGCUAAGUG